CUCCUACGGGAGGCAGCAGCUGAGGAAUAUUGGUCAAUGGGCGAUGGCCUGAACCAGCCAAGUAGCGGUAGAAGGAUGACUGCCCUAUGGGUUGUAAACUUCUUUUAUAAAGGAAUAAAGUCGGGUAUGCAUACCCGUUUGCAUGUACUUUAUGAAUAAGGAUCGGCUAACUCCGUGCCAGCAGCCGCGGUAAUACGGAGGAUCCGAGCGUUAUCCGGAUUUAUUGGGUUUAAAGGGUGCGUAGGCGGACAGUUAAGUCAGCGGUCAAAACGGGCGGCUCAACCGCCUGCCGCCGUUGAAACUUGGCAGUCUAGAGUGGGCGAGAAGUACGCGGAAUGCGCGGUGUAGCGGUGAAAUGCAUAGAUAUUGCGCAGAACUCCGAUUGCGAAGGCAGCGUACCGGCGCCCGACUGACGCUGAGGCACGAAAGCCGUGGGGAUCGAACAGGAUUAGAUACCCUGGUAGUCCACGCAUAAACGAUGGACACUAUCUGUUCGGGUCGAGAGAGAUCUGAGUGGCACAGCGAAACGUUAAAGUGUCCCACCUGGGAAGUACGCCGGCAACGUGAAACUCAAAGGAAUUGACGGGGGCCCGCACAAGCGGAGGAACAUGUGGUUUAAUUCGAUUAUACGCGAGGAACCUUACCCGGGCUCAAACGCACGACGGCGGCACGUGAAAGCGUGCUUGACUACGGGACUUUGUGCAAGGUGCUGCAUGGUUGUCGUCAGCUCGUGCCGUGAGGUGUCGGCUUAAGUGCCAUAACGAGCGCAACCUCCAUCCGCAGUUGCCAGCAGGUAAAGCUGGGGACUCUGCGGAGACUGCCGGCGCAAGAUGAGAGGAACGGCGGGGAUGACGUCAAAUCAGCACGGCCUUUACGUCCGGGGCAAAACACAUAUUACAAUAAAAGGGACAGAGGGAAGGGGGGGGGGCGACCGGGCGCGGACCCCGAAACCCUGUCUCAGUUCGGAUCGGAGUCUGCAACUCGACUCGCGUGAAGCGUGGAUUCGCUAGUAAUCGCGCAUCAGCCUAUGGCGCGGUGUAUACGUUCCCGGCCUUUACACACCGC
rnacentral:rRNA from 1 species